rnacentral:rRNA from 1 species
GAUGAACGCUGGCGGCGUGCCUAAUACAUGCAAGUCGAGCGAACGGACGAGAAGCUUGCUUCUCUGAUGUUAGCGGCGGACGGGUGAGUAACACGUGGAUAACCUACCUAUAAGACUGGGAUAACUUCGGGAAACCGGAGCUAAUACCGGAUGAUAUUUUGAACCGCAUGGUUCAAAAGUGAAAGACGGUCUUGCUGUCACUUAUAGAUGGAUCCGCGCUGCAUAAGCUAGUUGGUAAGGUAACGGCUUACCAAGGCAACGAUGCAUAGCCGACCUGAGAGGGUGAUCGGCCACACUGGAACUGAGACACGGUCCAGACUCCUACGGGAGGCAGCAGUAGGGAAUCUUCCGCAAUGGGCGAAAGCCUGACGGAGCAACGCCGCGUGAGUGAUGAAGGUCUUCGGAUCGUAAAACUCUGUUAUUAGGGAAGAACAUAUGUGUAAGUAACUGUGCACAUCUUGACGGUACCUAAUCAGAAAGCCACGGCUAACUACGUG